UACUCUUGACAUCCUGCGAAUUUGGUAGAGAUACCUUAGUGCCUUCGGGAACGCAGAGACAGGUGCUGCAUGGCUGUCGUCAGCUCGUGUUGUGAAAUGUUGGGUUAAGUCCCGUAACGAGCGCAACCCUUGUCCUUAUUUGCCAGCGCGUAAUGGCGGGAACUCUAAGGAGACUGCCGGUGACAAACCGGAGGAAGGUGGGGACGACGUCAAGUCAUCAUGGCCCUUACGAGUAGGGCUACACACGUGCUACAAUGGUCGGUACAAACGGGUUGCCAACUCGCGAGAGUGAGCCAAUCCCGAAAAGCCGAUCUCAGUCCGGAUCGGAGUCUGCAACUCGACUCCGUGAAGUCGGAAUCGCUAGUAAUCGUGGAUCAGAAUGCCACGGUGAAUACGUUCCCGGGCCU
rnacentral:rRNA from 1 species